UGCUAGAAAGGUGCUUGGUGUGACAUCUGGAUAGAGGAAGGAGGACAAGGAGACCUGGUGGUGGAAUGAAGAAGUACAGGAGAGUAUACAGAGGAAGAGGCUGGCGAAGAAGUGGG